UAAAAAUCAAAACUUCCAUUAGACAUUUGAAAUCUGGCAUUUAAUUUUGUCAGCAGGAAAAGAAGAAGAUGUGCUUCCUCCUCUCAUCUGUGCAUGUGGAUGUAACCAGACUCCAAAGGAUUGUAUAACAACAUAGCCUACCUCAUUGACUCAGUACCUGCAAGGAAGCUACCCACCAACCUUCAUAUCCACACCAUACUAUUCCAUUCACGCUCAUGCUCCUCUGAUUCCUGCCACAAAAAUCUGGCAAAUCCUGCAAACCCUGCUCCCAGAUACAUUCUUACACAGGAGUACACAGGGAUUUGGCUCUUCUUAUAACCGAAACACAGAAGAGAUCAGAUUAAAAGGAAAAGAUGCCCACCCUAUUAUGGAUAUAAAGCAGGAAGAAGGCAUAAACAUGCCCCUGCCUUCCUCGUUCUCAUACUGCCACCUAACACAGGGACACUUUGCCAUGCUUUGGCUACUCUGA
rnacentral:lncRNA from 1 species